UAUUGGACAAUGGGCGAAAGCCUGAUCCAGCCAUGCCCCUUGUGUUAAGAAGGUCUUCGGUUUGUAAAGCACUAUAAGCUUGGAGGAAGGGCAGUACGUUAAUAACUUGCUGUUUUGACGCUACCGACAGAAUAAUCACCGGCUAACUCCGUGCCAGCUGCCGCGGUAACACGAAGGGUGCACGCGUUAAUCGGAAUUACUGGGCGUAAAGCGCGCGUAGGUGGUUUGUUAAGUUGGAAGUGAAAGCCCCGGGCUCAACCUGGGAACUGCUUUCAUAACUGCUGAGCUAGAGUACGGUAGAGGGUAGUGGAAUUUCCUGUGUAGCGGUGAAAUGCGUAGAUAUAGGAAGGAACACCAGUGGCGAAGGCGACUACCUGGACUGAUACUGACACUGAGGUGCGAAAGCGUGGGGAGCAAACA
rnacentral:rRNA from 1 species